AGACAAUAAUGAAAUCUCUUUGCAAACUCCUUCCUCAAUGUUAUCUCUUUCAGGCAAAUUGGAGCUAAUUCUGGGGCAAGCAGGAACAAGUAAUAAUCACAGCCUCCUAGAGAUAUCCUUGGCACAGUUGCCUGGGGCACACUUGGCUGUGUUUUACAGAACGCUGUUCCCACGCCCCUGAAUUAACUCUGUCUAGUUGUAGAUGGCCAGAAGUGACCCUUCUAGCAAGAAUCCUUGAUAGUACAUCCCCCCUGUCUUCCAGAAGACCUGCUAGUGGGCUCAAAAUAUGCUGAACUCACACUGGGUUGAUGAGGCUAGGGCCCCUGCAUUACUGUCUGUUUGUCAUUAGUAAAUCUUCCUGGCACCAUUGGCUGGGACCUAACAUGAAGGACCUGGCAUACAGUGCCCUCUGUGGACUGGUACCUGGGUUGCAAGCAGAGUGCAUGUUCUCACUAGCAAACACCUUCAGCUGAACAUUCUUCCUCUCAUUUCUUGAGGGCUCCCAGCAGUUGAUUUCCCAUGGAAACAAGC
rnacentral:lncRNA from 1 species